UUUUUUUCUAAGAUCCAGCAGAAUGACUUAAUUUAUAUGAUGACUUCUCCCAGAUUGUCUCUGCUUCAUUUUUCCAUAGCUGUAACUCUAGUUUGGGGUGGAGUCACGUUUUUUCCUCUUCAGGGAAAUGGGUGUGGAUUGUGUUUGAUAGCAAGCAUGACACACAAGAAGACGGACAGAUAUAACAGAAGUCAUCAGGACUUUGUUGGUUUCCUUCCACCUCCUGUUUACAUCAGUCUGGCGUCACUGUAAACUAACAUAGUCUCUAGGGAGACAAGUUUAGAGUUGUUUAGUGUGGUCUGAAUUCCUGCCUCUGCUAAAAGGACUUACCCGAUAGACACCCCGCCCGCCCUUUCAGCUGUUCCCCCAUUAAUUGAUUUUAGAGCGUCACACAGGGAAAUGUCAGAUGAUCACAGCCGACGGACGAAAACCUGGUUAGGUGGUAAAAAAGGUGGAUGUGGGUUGAGGCUGUGGUCACAGGAGAAAAUGUUGUGUGCUCUCCACCUCUGCUAAUGAGAUGACCCGCAGCACAUGCUCUUGUCAUGCAGAAGCAUGUGACCGCUCCUUUGCCACUCUCCCACCCCCUACAGUAUGUUUUGUCAUCAAAGCGUUCCUCUAAAUGUUUGUUAUGUAAUCCACGAGACCGGCUGUAACUACUCUGUGGCUAUUAUUGAUGUGUUUCCGUGUAAACAAGUCUAUUAAUUUUCUUUUACUUCCUUAGCUUCCUUGGGUGUUUGCCUCUUGUGUAUACACUGGGUAAGGCCUAAAGAAAGAAAUGUCAGCAGAUGAUGUCAGCCGGACGUGGCUUGUAAAUGUUACUGCCUUCUGAAUUUAGCAGCUAAGUGUCAAAAAGACUCUUUUCAAGUCUUUACUGGUUAUUUAAUGUCUUGGGCGAGAUCUGUUUGUUGCUAUAUCUGCCUCCCUCCACUAGGGGGAACUCUUUCCUUUUAUAUUUGCCAUGCUUACCUGGGCCAUUUUGAAGUCACAGUACACUGCACACUCACAUUGUGUUGUUGUUGUCCCACUGUUUGUGCUUUCUGCAGUGUUCCAGCAGGACCCAGGAUGCUCGAGGAACAGAGUGUGUGCAAUGCGCUGCUGCUGCAUCUCCUCCAGCAUCAGAAAGUUAUUUUUGCAUUUCCAACUGAGGACACAGUGGCCUCCUCAACUACGUCCUCCUCACCUACUCCUCCUCCUUUGUCUUCCCUCUCACAGUUUGAGGUUCAGCCCAGCUGUUGCCAUUCAGAGCAGCGUGGUGUUGUACUAGAGGCAACACAAGAAGUACGGACGCAGUCUGAACUUAACAGUUCUGACACACCGGCGCAAAGCUGUGAAACGAGCUCUGACGUCAGCACUGACAUUCAGAAGCUGAUUACCGACCAAGAAGCUUCAAAGAAGAUCAGCGAAAGUGUGGAGGCAGGCCGUGCGCUCCCCUGCCCCACUGACCCAGGGCCAGAGCAGCAUCAGCACCAGAGCAGACCAUCUCUGCGUAUCGCGGGGGAGCCGCUGAAGGCAGCGUGUACCACAGGGUGAGUGUAACACUUUCACUGCUGUUAACUAUCAAUAUAGUUUUAUUAAUGCAGCAUUUUGGUUUUGUAUUACUACUUUUUGUUGCUUUUAAUGAACUUUUCUUCAUAAAUAGGACCUUGUCACAGAUGCCCCUGUUCACUUUCAUACCACAGGAGAUAGAGGAGGAAGUUGACAAGGUACUGUAAAGAAAAUUAAAACUUUCCUAAGUAAAGUCAAGUUUAUUUAUAAAGUGCAUUUAAAAACAACAGUGUUGAGUGCUGUACAUCCAAAAAUACAAACAACGCAAAGAAAAAAAAAGAAAUAAGAACCCAGACAUUUUGUGGGAUAUGAACCAAACAAAAUAACAGCUGAUGUUUCCUGCAUGUGCUAAAACGUGUUUGGAGUUAUAAAUUCAGAAUAGAACUGUCCGUCAAACUGUGUGUCUUUUAGCUUAUUUUCGUCUGGGAGGUAACUGUACAGUAACAGUGGCUUAUUUUUCAGGCUUCUGCAGAUGUUGGGCGAACAUCAUCUUUUUCAAACAGCUGCACUGAGAAGGAAUCGCAGGUCAAAAGCCAAACACAGACUGAGCACACAGAUAGGUGAGAACUUCACACUCUACCCAUUGAGCUACCAGGCCACACUUACUGUCGCCACCUGAUACAAGCACUUCUCUUUAUGACUGGAUUGGACUCUUGAUAAAAUAGUACUUAAGAAGUGUAUCACAGUUGUUUUUUGCUCCCACCACCACUUGGUUCCUCAUUUCAGCUCAUCUCUCAGCCCUCCAGCGUUUUUGAGAAGUAGGUUAUCAGAGCAGUGUGCU
ensembl:lncRNA